rnacentral:rRNA from 1 species
CCUACGCGUGGCAGCAGUGAGGAAUAUUGGUCAAUGGCCGGAAGGCUGAACCAGCCAUGCCGCGUGAAGGUCAGUGCCCUAUGGGCGUUAAACUUCUUUUGUGCGGGAGCAAUAAUGGUCACGUGUGGCCAGACGAGAGUACCGUACGAAUAAGCAUCGGCUAACGCCGUGCCAGCCGCCGCGGGAAUACGGGGGAUGCAAGCGUUAUCCGGAUUUAUUGGGUUUAAAGGGUGCGUAGGCUGUGAGGUAAGUCAGCGGUGAAAUGCCCCCGCUCAACGGGGUGAAGUGCCAUUGAUACUGGCUUGCUGGAAUGCGGAUGCCGUGGGAGGAAUGUGUGGUGUAGCGGUGAAAUGCAUAGAUAUCACACAGAACACCGAUUGCGAAGGCAGCAUACCGGCGCUCAACUGACGCUCAUGCACGAAAGUGUGGGUAUCGAACAGGAUUAGAUACCCCGGUAGUC